GAUGAACGCUGGCGGCGUGCCUAAUACAUGCAAGUCGAGCGAACAGACGAGGAGCUUGCUCCUCUGACGUUAGCGGCGGACGGGUGAGUAACACGUGGAUAACCUACCUAUAAGACUGGGAUAACUUCGGGAAACCGGAGCUAAUACCGGAUAAUAUAUUGAACCGCAUGGUUCAAUAGUGAAAGACGGUUUUGCUGUCACUUAUAGAUGGAUCCGCGCCGCAUUAGCUAGUUGGUAAGGUAACGGCUUACCAAGGCAACGAUGCGUAGCCGACCUGAGAGGGGGAAGGGCCACACUGGAAAUGAGAAACGGACCAGAACCCGAGGGGGGGCAGAAGGAGGGAAUUUUACGAAAGGGGGGAAAGCCUGACGGAGAAACGCCGGGGGAGGGAAGAAGGUUUUCGGAUGGAAAAACCCCGUUAUUAGGGAAAAAAAAAUGUGAAAGUAAAUAGGAACGUUUUGACGGUACCUAAACAGAAAGCAACGGCUAACUAAGG
rnacentral:rRNA from 1 species